rnacentral:rRNA from 1 species
ACUCCUACGGGAGGCAGCAGUGGGGAAGUAUUGCACAAGGGCAGGCAAGCCUGAUGCAGCCAUGCCGCGUGUGUGAAGAAGGCCUUCGGGUUGUAAAGCACUUUCAGUCGUGAGGAAGGUAGUGUAGUUAAUAGCUGCAUUAUUUGACGUUAGCGACAGAAGAAGCACCGGCUAACUCCGUGCCAGCAGCCGCGGUAAUACGGAGGGUGCGAGCGUUAAUCGGAAUUACUGGGCGUAAAGCGCAUGCAGGUGGUUUGUUAAGUCAGAUGUGAAAGCCCGGGCUC